UGUCAGCAGCUUCCAUUCCUUCUGUACAACUGGGACACGCCACCUGGGGCCAUGGGACAAGACCCAACUCAGCACACCAUGGGGUGGCAGGGGGUGAUCCAUCAGGGCUUCUCCCUUCUGUUGGAAGAAAAGAGGCCACCCGCUCACCCUCCUGCCCGCCCCCCAUCACACACAGAGCCCUGAAAGGCUGGCCCAAGGACUCCUCUGUCCACACGCAUACCUGGCAUUCCUGCACAUGGCUUCCUCCCUCACUUCAGAGGCCUCUUCACAGGUUCCCCCAGGACACAGCCACCUGAGCUACAGCUCCGAGGUCGCCCCCGAGGCUUCCCUCUUCCUCACUCCACACAUACAAAUGACAGCUCGAUCAUGUGGAUUCCAGAACCCAAAAUAGCCAUUCGUCUUUUCACCCCUUCAUGGCCAACACGCUUCUCCAUGUCUCCAUCAUUUGUCUCCAGGAUUUGAAACAGCCUCCGAACAUGCCCUCUUGUCUCAGCCUUGGCCCUGCCCAUUUGUGUUCAACAAUGCAGCCAGAAACAUCUUAUGAAGCAAACCAGGCAAUGUCACUCACUAGCUUAAAACCCACGAACACCUUCCCACUGGCCCUGGGAGGGAUGAUGUCUGCAUUCCAGGGCAGAGCCCGCAAGGCCACUCAGAUCCCAGCCUCCGCCUGCCUUUCUUGCUCACCUCUAGUCACUCCUCCAUCACACAGUCUCCAGCUAGACUUGAACCCUUGAACCGUCAGUUCACAAAACCCCCUUGUUCUUGGUGGCUUUCUCUGCCUCGUUGCUUGCCUGGGCGGGAAUGUCACCUCAUUAUCACACACCAGUCAAGCCCAGCAAGCAAUGCGGUGACAGGGACGCCCCCUCAUGUCCCUGUGGCCCCAUGAAAGCUUUGGCUGCCGUGAAGUGGACCGUGUGAGCCCACCACAGCCCAGAUGUUCCCUGAAAUCCCCAGCAGGAGCUCCUGCUGCACCUCAUUAUCACUGUCCCCUUAAAUAACAGCAGCGCUGACACCCCUGCAAAACCAACACAUGCAUAUUUGAUCUGUAUAAACAGCGCAUAUCAUAGGACACUUCCUUUCAGAACUCCCUGACGCUGGAAAUUCAAAUGAGAGCUCACAGUCCCUGGGACUGGAGACUAAUGAGGGCAUCAUAAAUAUUUGAUUAAAGACAGGCCAAAUUCUCAGGUUUUUGCCUCACAAAAUUUUCAGAAGCAACCACUCAAAGAUUUCUUGAAUAUCAGAGCACUUUGGGGGGACAGUGAGAAGGCGGCUUCUGCUAUUUCUCCGGAGUGGUGAUGGGCAUUUGGCUCUCUCUUCACUUUAAAAUCGUCUUCCACCUCGAACUCUUGGUCAGUGUGCUUGUGUUCCCGAAGAGACGGAGAGAUGAGAAAGGACCAUUGGGCUACUUACCGGAACAGUUGCUUCUCUACCGGCUGGACUGAUUUCUGGCUCUGUCCACUGGGCGUGGGUGUUGAACAUCCCUCGACUUCAAUGUGUUCUUCCAGAGGUGGUGAGAAAAUAAGUGUUUGCCAAAUGAGACUGACCUUGACCUUCUAGAAACUGUCAAGGAAAUGCAAUGGGUUGGGAUUACUAGUUCACAAGCGGGGCUAGAUACCUGGUCCCCUCAGAGAAUUCCCCGUGUUGGGAUUCUCCAAACAACACCACUUAUCAAAUUAAAAGCCAGAGGACCCACUUAGAAAGCCAUCUAUAUCUGGAUAGUUAACAAUAUUCUUAACUUUGGCCAUAUUGAUCAUACUUUCAUGGGAAUUAAAUAAUGCGAACUGUGAAGAAAA